rnacentral:rRNA from 1 species
CCGAACCGACUAAUGUUGAAAAAUUAGCGGAUGACCUGUGGCUGGGGGUGAAAGGCCAAUCAAACCGGGAGAUAGCUGGUUCUCCCCGAAAGCUAUUUAGGUAGCGCCUCGUGAAUUCAUCUCCGGGGGUAGAGCACUGUUUCGGCUAGGGGGCCAUCCCGGCUUACCAACCCGAUGCAAACUGCGAAUACCGGAGAAUGUUAUCACGGGAGACACACGGCGGGUGCUAACGUCCGUCGUGAAGAGGGAAACAACCCAGACCGCCAGCUAAGGUCCCAAAGUCAUGGUUAAGUGGGAAACGAUGUGGGAAGGCCCAGACAGCCAGGAUGUUGGCUUAGAAGCAGCCAUCAUUUAAAGAAAGCGUAAUAGCUCACUGGUCGAGUCGGCCUGCGCGGAAGAUGUAACGGGGCUAAACCAUGCACCGAAGCUGCGGCAGCGACACUGUGUGUUGUUGGGUAGGGGAGCGUUCUGUAAGCCUGUGAAGGUGUGUCGUGAGGCAUGCUGGAGGUAUCAGAAGUGCGAAUGCUGACAUAAGUAACGAU